rnacentral:precursor_RNA from 14 species
GGGCUGCUCCUUACACCGGGUCUCCUGUGUUAAGGUGCAUCUAGUGCAGUUAGUGAAGCAACUUCGAAUCUACUGCCCUAAAUGCCCCUUCUGGCACAGGCUACCCGAUGAGACAGCAUUUAAAA